rnacentral:rRNA from 1 species
AAUGAACGCUGGUGGCAGACCUAACACAUGCAAGUCGAACGGUCUAUAUUAAACUUCGGUUUUUUAUAGAUAGUGGCAAACGGGUGAGUAAAGCAUGGGAAUCUACCUAGAAGUUUGGAAUAGCUAUUAGAAAUGAUAGAUAAUACCAAAUACACCUCGAGAGGGAAAGUUGACUUCGGUCUUCGCUUUUAGAUGAGCCCAUGUUAAAUUAGUAGUUGGUAGGGUAAUGGCCUACCAGAUGAUGAUUUAUAGCUGGUCUUAGAGGAUGAUCAGCCACACUGGAAUUGAGAUACGGUCCAGACUCCUACGGGAGGCAGCAGUGGGAUAUUGGACAAUGGGCGCAAGCCUGAUCCAGUCAUGCACGUGAGUGAUGAAGUCUAGGAUUGUAAACUCUUUAGCAGGGAAAAAUGAUGGUACCUGCAGAAAAAGUCUACGGCUAAC